CGCUCAGCAUGCGUUCGCCGAAGAAACGCGCCCAUCUGAGUGUCACGCCCGCAAGGCGUUCUCGGCCCGGCGGGGCGGAAGCAGACCCAACACCACCGAGGCGUCCCGGGGCUUCUGGGAAUCCCAUCUGCGCGGCCCGAGAGACCUCGAGGAGAGGUUCUAAGAGAGGUCGGAUCCGCUUCCCCGGCGCCCGCCUCCAGGCCGCGGCAGCUCAGAGAACCGACAGAGGUGAGUGAGCGAGCCGCGUUUGGGGUCCAGGCCUGUGUCCCCAAAGCACCGCCCCCGCUCCCCAGCCUUCCAGCUUUUUGGCUCCGACUCCCGGCUCCUUCGAGAUUCCACCUGCGGGGCCUCCCUUCUCCAUCCACGACUCCCGCUACCUUUUCGAACCUUCGGCGCUCCCCUUGGACGCGUUCUCCUACCCGGCGACCGUCCCCAGCGUCGGGGCGCGGCCGGGGCGCACGGAGCCCCCUCCCCAGCCGGGCCGGUCGCCCGGGAUCCGGGAGUGCGAAUCCGUUUAGCCUUCCCCCCUAGUCCAGAACAUCGCUCGAUGUAGUCGGGAGGCUCCAACGGAGCCUGGGAAGACGCGCCCCGAACCCCCGGGACUUGAGCGAGGGAGGGGGCGGUGCCGGUGCGGAGGUCACCCUCCCGGGGCGUCCGCAGCCUCCCAUUCGCUGGCGGGCCCGCCGCUCCGCGCCCAGAGCGGUAGCUGGUUUGCCGAGUCGCGGGGCGGGGCCUCCUCCAAGCUCGUCCCCCGGCGAGGGCGGAGGGAGGAGGAGGAGGAGGAGGAGGAGAGGGGGGGGCGGGACACAAAACCUGCAAGGUUUUUUUUUUUUCUUUUGCAUUUAAUUAAAAAAAAAUUUUUUUUUUUUUUUUUUGCAAACCCGAGGGGUCCUGCCCGGAGCGGGCGCGGGUCCGGGGCGCCCGGGCCGCGGCGCGGGGCGGCGGCAGGGGCCUGGCGGAGGCUGCCGGGCGGCCGCCAUGCGAUCAGGCAGUGCGCUGACCGGCCCGGCCGGUCGGCCCCUUCUGGGUCCUCCCUUUGCAGCCCGUGCGGGGCCGUCUCGGAGACCCCGCGCCGACGGCUGCUCAAACAUCAGGCUGGCCCCCGAAAGGACGCUCCCCAAGUCCCCAGCCGGGGGCCCCGCGUAGACCUGGAGUGGACACCCCCUCCUUCCCUUCAUGAUUCGUUUGUAGCGCAGGGAAGGGCACCCACAACAGUCACAUGUCCUCAGCGAGUUCAGGACCACCCGCUCCCACAAAAAAGAGAGGUCAAUCCCUUCGAGGCCCUG
rnacentral:lncRNA from 1 species